CCAUCACUCUAACACUCACAGCACUCUCUCACACAGCACUCUCACACCCAUCACACAUAGCACUCUCACACCCAUCACACACAGCACUCUCUCAACCAUCACACUGUCACACCAAUCACUCUCACACGCACAGCACUCUCUCACACACAGCACUCUCACAUCCAUCACACACAGCACUUUCACACAGCACUCUCACACCCAUCACUCACACACGGCACUCACACACACAUCACACACGGCACUCUCACACACACCGCACCCCUCACACACACACACAACCCCCAACACACUGCACCACACACAUACACAAUACUUCCAUAUAUAUAUUGUGAUAAAGUGAAGGCAGAUAGGCCUUUUAACCCCAGGGGAAGUACGUGUAGUUUGUGUGUUGCACAACACAAAGCAUUGUUUAGUUAUGGGCCCCUGGGGUGGAGCAUUUGGAGAGAAGGGUGGGCCAAUGCUCCACUCCACAGUUUAGUGGUUUUCUGGGGAGACUUAGAUCCAGGCCAGGGUUUUUUGGACCGUCUCCAACCCACUGCUCAGCUGCAGUUAAUGAGCUGUUGCAGUGGGAAUAAACCCCUCCCUGCUAGGCAGGUAAAGGAGGGGAAUUGCUGGCUUCCUCCCAGGAAGCAGGUAGGAGAGAGGCUGUUCUCUCCAGAUAGAGAGUCAAGGAGACUAGGCACUGGGAGUGCAGAAAGGAAGCAGUCAAGGCUGGCUUGGAGCACUGGGAGUGCAGAAAGGAAAGCAGUCAGGGCAAGGCUGGCUUGGAGCACUGGGAGUGGAGAAAGAAAAGCAACAGGC